rnacentral:rRNA from 1 species
GACGAACGCUGGCGGCGUGCUUAACACAUGCAAGUCGAGCGGUAAGGCCCUUUCGGGGGUACGACGAGCGGCGAACGGGUGAGUAACACGUGGGUGACCUGCCCUCAGCUCUGGGAUAAGCCUGGGAAACCGGGUCUAAUACCGGAUAUGACUCCAUGACGCAUGUUGUGGGGUGGAAAGCCUUGUGCGGCUGAGGAUGGGCCCGCGGCCUAUCAGCUUGUUGGUGGGGUGGNGGCCUACCAAGGCGACGACGGGUAGCCGGCCUGAGAGGGCGACCGGCCACACUGGGACUGAGACACGGGCCCAGACUCCUACGGGAGGCAGCAGUGGGGAAUCUUGCGCAAUGGGCGAAAGCCUGACGCAGCGACGCCGCGUGAGGGAUGACGGCCU